rnacentral:rRNA from 1 species
CGGCGUGCUAAUACAUGCAAGUCGAGCGAACAGAUGAGAAGCUUGCUUGCUCUGAUGUUAGCGGCGGACGGGUGAGUAACACGUGGGUAACCUACCUAUAAGACUGGGAUAACUCCGGGAAACCGGGGCUAAUACCGGAUAAUAUUUUGAACCGCAUGGUUCAAUAGUGAAAGACGGUUUCGGCUGUCACUUAUAGAUGGACCCGCGCCGUAUUAGCUAGUUGGUAAGGUAACGGCUUACCAAGGCGACGAUACGUAGCCGACCUGAGAGGGUGAUCGGCCACACUGGAACUGAGACACGGUCCAGACUCCUACGGGAGGCAGCAGUAGGGAAUCUUCCGCAAUGGGCGAAAGCCUGACGGAGCAACGCCGCGUGAGUGAUGAAGGUCUUCGGAUCGUAAAACUCUGUUGUUAGGGAAGAACAAAUUUGUUAGUAACUGAACAAGUCUUGACGGUACCUAACCAGAAAGCCACGGCUAACUACGUGCCAGCAGCCGCGGUAAUACGUAGGUGGCAAGCGUUAUCCGGAAUUAUUUGGGCGUAAAGCCGCGCCGUAGGCGGUUUCUUAAGUCUGAUGUGAAAGCCCACGGCUCAACCGUGGAGGGUCAUUGGAAACUGGGAAACUUGAGUGCAGAAGAGGAGAGUGGAAUUCCCAUGUGUAGCGGUGAAAUGCGCAGAGAUAUGGAGGAACACCAGUGGCGAAGGCGGCUCUCUGGUCUGUAACUGACGCUGAUGUGCGAAAGCGUGGGGAUCAAACAGGAUUAGAUACCCUGGUAGUCCACGCCGUAAACGAUGAGUGCUAAGUGUUAGGGGGUUUCCGCCCCUUAGUGCUGCAGCUAACGCAUUAAGCACUCCGCCCUGGGGAGUACGACCGGCAAGGAUUGAAAACUCAAAGGAAUUGACGGGGACCCGCACAAGCGGUGGAGCCAUUGUGGUUUUAAUUCGAAGCAACGCGAAGAACCUUACCAAAUCUUGACAUCCUUUGACCGCUCUAGAGAUAGAGUCUUCCCCUUCGGGGGACAAAGUGACAGGUGGUGCAUGGUUGUCGUCAGCUCGUGUCGUGAGAUGUUGGGUUAAGUCCCGCAACGAGCGCAACCCUUAAGCUUAGUUGCCAUCAUUAAGUUGGGCACUCUAGGUUGACUGCCGGUGACAAACCGGAGGAAGGUGGGGAUGACGUCAAAUCAUCAUGCCCCUUAUGAUUUGGGCUACACACGUGCUACAAUGGAUAAUACAAAGGGCAGCGAAUCCGCGAGGCCAAGCAAAUCCCAUAAAAUUAUUCUCAGUUCGGAUUGUAGUCUGCAACUCGACUACAUGAAGCUGGAAUCGCUAGUAAUCGUAGAUCAGCAUGCUACGGUGAAUACGUUCCCGGGUCUUGUACACACCGCCCGUCACACCACGAGAGUUUGUAACACCCGAAGCCGGUGGAGUAACCUUUUAGGAGCUAGCCGUCGAACGGUG